rnacentral:lncRNA from 12 species
AUCUGCCACUCCUUCACACAAGCAAAACAGACUGACGCGCGCUCGCGAUUCGCGAUUCACCUUUGCGAGUCGACUCGCUCGAGCGGUGCGCUUCAUUGAUUCGGUUCAUUGAGAAGAAUUCACUCCUCGCACAGUGAUUCACUCGCAGCUGCGAAUCGGUUCAUGUGAAUCAUUGAGGAAUUCAGACAGAGUCGGUGUGGCUCGCGGCAGAGUGAGUCUCGUGUGUUCGCCGGUGUCGCUUCUGUCCGCGAUCUGUCCCGAAGCAGACAUCCCCGUGAUCAGAUCCUGCGCUGGAGGAACGCGGGAUGAGCGAGCGUCUCUCUGAUCGCAG